rnacentral:rRNA from 1 species
UAAUACGUAGGGGGCAAGCGUUGUCCGGAUUUAUUGGGCGUAAAGAGCGUGUAGGCGGCCAGGUAGGUCGGCUGUGAAAACUCGAGGCUCAACCUCGAGAUGUCGGCCGAAACCAUCUGGCUAGAGUCCGGAAGAGGAGAGUGGAAUUCCCGGUGUAGCGGUGAAAUGCGCAGAUAUCGGGAAGAACACCCGUGGCGAAGGCGGCUCUCUGGGACGGUACUGACGCUGAGACGCGAAAGCGUGGGGAGCGAACAGGA